CUUUCAUUCGUUCCACAAUCUCCUGACUCGCGCCUUGCUUCUUGAGCUCUGUUGCAAUGCAAGCAUUUCCUGUCGAUAUGACUCGGCUCUGCCUCCUUGCCUUCUCCGUUUGCCUGUGUGUGGCCUCCGUCACCUGCACUGAUGAAAAAUUCAGCCAUGGAGAACCGCUGAAAGGGAUUAGUAACGACGUCCUUGCCAAAUUGAACUCGGAUCAGGACUUGCAAAAGUUUUACCAUGAUGCCUUUAAAAGAGGUUUAACAAUAAAAUCACAACUAAAAGAAUGGACUGAAUUCGCUAAAAGCGAAUCAAAGUCCUAUUAUCCUGCACUAUUGGAGAGAUUGAAAAAUAUUGCCAAAAUAUUGAGAUCGGACCCUUUUUUCAUGAAGUUUUGGGAUCUUAUAAUGAAGGUUGAGGAAUCAACCAAACCGUCAAACUCUGCUAUAGGGCUAUUUUUAAGAAAAGAACUGCUCUCCAAUGCACCCUUGGCGCGGAAGGUGAAGGAUAUUUUUGGCAAAGCAAUGGAAUCUGAUCCCGAUUUGAAAAAGCUGUGGAAGAAUGCCAUGGAUAAAGGUUUAAACGAAACCUCUAGUGAUGAAGAUUGGAACUCAUUUUUUGACGAAGAAAAGGAAUCUAAUCCUGCCGUGGGAGCGAAACUGAAAAAAUUUGUAGAAAAUUUUUUAAAUUCUGUACAUUCCUUGUUCAUCGUAUAUUACGCCUUUGGUGAUGAUCUCAAGACAAACGGAGCUAACCAGCCGACCAUCUAUAUCGCAUCUUUCAUUGGGGCAAUGCUGGUACAGUAUUGUUACAACAUCUAUUUCUUGUGAAUAUGCAUAUAUUUAAUAUACAAACAUCUAGUGAUGACAAUUUAUCCGUGCAAAAUUUUGGCUCCGAUAAAAAUGGAAUAUUUUUUGAAUAAAAUACUCUGUCUUAUGUCUGAUGUACCCCUUGAAUUACAUAAAAACUCAUCUAAAAACGCUUUGUCGAAUAUAUUUUUCUUUUUGUAAAAAUUGUUAGACUAGAGUUCAGCUCCAAACAGUUUUGAGUCUCCUUUCAAGAGCCUUUUAAUACAGUGAGUAGAUCUUAAACUUUACUUUGUGCCGUAUAUUUUUUUAAUUAUUCUUAAAAAAUUUACAACACUUUGGAUUUGGAAAGUAAUUUUUCAUCUUUUAACUUAUCUAUAGGACUGUAAAAUUUAGACGAUGGACCAUAAUUUUCUGACUCAAAUGAGCACGAAUCAGACAAUUUUAAGCAAUUUAAACCAAACUUGAAACCGUCUAAAACACGUCAAUUUUGAGUUGGAAAUCAAAUCCCUUUAUAUAUUAUAAUUUAGACGAAAUAUUUAUAAUUGUAACAUUAUGGCGCUAUCAUAUGUAUGACGUAUCACUCUGCCCAUUUUGUGAACAUGCAAACAGUUCAAAUAAAUUAUUAUUAUUCUUAAAUCAUAA